rnacentral:rRNA from 1 species
GAUGAACGCUGGCGGCGUGCCUAAUACAUGCAAGUCGAGCGAACAGAUGAGGAGCUUGCUCCUCUGACGUUAGCGGCGGACGGGUGAGUAACACGUGGAUAACCUACCUAUAAGACUGGGAUAACUUCGGGAAACCGGAGCUAAUACCGGAUAAUAUCUUGAACCGCAUGGUUCAAUAGUGAAAGACGGUUUUGCUUUCACUUAUAGAUGGAUCCGCGCUGCAUUAGCUAGUUGGUAAGGUAACGGCUUACCAAGGCAACGAUGCGUAGCCGACCUGAGAGGGGGAUCGGCCACACUGGAACGGAGACACGGUCCAGACUCCUACGGGAGGCAGCAGUAGGGAAUCUUCCGCAAUGGGCGAAAGCCUGACGGAGCAACGCCGCGUGAGUGAUGAAGGUCUUCGGAUCGUAAAACUCUGUUAUUAGGGAAGAACAAAUGUGUAAGUAACUGUGCACGUCUUGACGGUACCUAAUCAGAAAGCCACGGCUAACUACGUG